GACGAACGCUGGCGGCGUGCCUAAAACAUGCAAGUCGAACGAGCCCUUCGGGGCUAGUGGCGAACGGCGGAGUAAGACGUGAACAACGUGCCCCUAAGUCUGGGACAAACGCAGAAAUGCCAUGAAUACCAGAUGUGACCGGGAGAGGACAUCCUCUUCCGAUUAAAGGCUUUUCGCUUAGGGAGCGGUUCACGGCCUAUCAGCUAGUUGGUGGGGUAAAGGCCUACCAAGGCGACGACGGGUAGGGGUCNGAGAGGAUGAUCCCCCCGAGUGGGACGU
rnacentral:rRNA from 1 species